rnacentral:rRNA from 1 species
UACAGAGGUCUCAAGCGUUGUUCGGAUUCAUUGGGCGUAAAGGGUGCGUAGGCGGCGCGGUAAGUCGGGUGUGAAAUCUCGGAGCUUAACUCCGAAACUGCAUUCGAUACUGCCGUACUUGAGGACUGGAGAGGAGACUGGAAUUUACGGUGUAGCAGUGAAAUGCGUAGAUAUCGUGAGGAAGACCAGUGGCGAAGGCGGAUCUCUGGACAGCUCCUGACGCUGAGGCGCGAAGGCUAGGGGAGCAAACGGG